GCUUGCUUCAGCGAGCACUGUAUCAUUAAAAUUGGGAUGAUACAGAGGAGAUUAGCAUUACCCCUGCACACGAUGACACGCAAAUUCAUGAAGCCUUCCAUAUUAAA